rnacentral:rRNA from 1 species
UACGAAGGGGGCUAGCGUUGCUCGGAAUCACUGGGCGUAAAGGGUGCGUAGGCGGGUCUUUAAGUCAGGGGUGAAAUCCUGGAGCUCAACUCCAGAACUGCCUUUGAUACUGUCGGUCUAGAGUAUGGAAGAGGUGAGUGGAAUUCCGAGUGUAGAGGUGAAAUUCGUAGAUAUUCGGAGGAACACCAGUGGCGAAGGCGGCUCACUGGUCCAUUACUGACGCUGAGGUGCGAAAGCGUGGGGAGCAAACAGG